rnacentral:sRNA from 1 species
GUCAGUAACCCACCCCUAAAGGGGAUGGGCUUGCAAGACGAAAGUCAAAACAAGCCAUACUGACCAGCCUAAGACUUUCGAGGUCUACGUUUUUUGAGUCAAGACACCAGGCGGAUGCGUAGCUAGUCCUCUGCCCUGUCGUUUGCAGUUAAACAGUUUUAAGGUCACUGAAACAGUGCUGCAAGCUGAACAAGCUCUCAAAACAUUGGCGAAGCUAACUUUACCCCGCAAGGG